UCCGUAGGCGGGUAAUUAAGUCAGAGGUGAAAUCCCACAGCUUAACUGUGGAACUGCCUUAGAUACUGGUUAUCUUGAGUUUUAGUGAAGUAGAUAGAAUGUGUAGUGUAGCGGUGAAAUGCAUAGAUAUUACACAGAAUACCGAUUGCGAAGGCAGUCUACUAACUAACAACUGACGCUAAUGGACGAAAGCGUGGGAAGCGAACAGGAUUAGAUACCCUGGUAGUCC
rnacentral:rRNA from 1 species